UGUAACAUCUCGUAAUCGCGCAUCACUAGUGGUUGGUGGUUAAAUUGUCAUUGCUUGAUUGUUCAGGUUGUUAGUUUACGCUGUAGUGGUUAUCUAAUCAAAAGAUUUGCAUUACAAAACAACUGCUUAUCAUUGUGUUAAUAGUUGAUUAGGAAUAUCUUACUUGGGUGUUGCUUUCGUUUAUCUAUGAAAGUUUGUACAAAUACAUUUUUAAUAGUUUCAACUUCAGUUUAAAUGAUCAGAUCUCUGUUAUUUGUUCAUCAAAAUUGUACAUCAAACAGUCAAUUCAUUAAACAAGCAAAGAAACAUCUGAAGAUUGGUCUUUUGAUAACCUUCCAUUAUCACACUGUUUUGUGUAACUGUCAGAAGGCAAAUACACCCAGUACAAACUCACUCACCUCAAUGGCAGAAAACAUAACUAACUCCAGUGUGUUCACGGGGAAAGAAGACAGGUACAAAGGAAUACAUGUUAAAUCUAAAAACAACAUCUGCAGUACAAGUAAUUUUAUUACCAAACUUGAAGCUUCCCUGCAGGAGUGGACCUCACAGAAGAAGUCUGCUGCUUGGUUCUACAUUAGCCUUGGUCAGUCGGAAUGGGUUCCUCUUCUAACAAAGAAUGGUUUCAGAUUCCACCAUGCAGCACGGGAUGGCAGUGAGGUAGCGAUGGUGCGGUGGCUGGCUGCAGGGGAGUCACACAUCCCUGUGUUUUCACAUACCAUGAUUGGUGUGGGGGCGGUAGUUGUUAACACAGAGAACAAACUUCUGGUGGUCCAGGAACGCUACCAGAACCAGCCUUACUGGAAGCUGCCCGGUGGCUAUGUGGAGCCUGGGGAGGACAUACCAGCAGCUGCGAUGAGAGAAGUGCUAGAAGAAACCAACAUUAAGACGGAAUUCAAAUCCAUGGUAGCCUUCCGACAUUCACAUGGGGGUCCUUUUGGUUGUUCUGAUAUCUACUUUAUAGUCGAAUUGGCACCACUGACUGCGGAAAUUACCAGUUGUGAAAUAGAGAUUGAGGACAGCCAGUGGAUGGAGAUGUGGAUUUGACUAAGAUUGGAGGAAGAGGAUGUCUUAUGAUGUUGUGGCUGCUAAAGGUGUUAAACAUUUGACUAUUGCUGUCUUUCUUCAGGCCAUCAAAAUAUGGAUACGUACCUGAAACACCCGAAGGUACAUGAAAACAAUCGGUUGUUCCUCCGCAAGUACCUCUUCAGUAAAGAGAAUGGGAUUGUUAUCAACGGCACGAAAACCAAUCAUCCGAUCACCAAGGCACCUCAG
rnacentral:misc_RNA from 1 species